rnacentral:rRNA from 1 species
UGUUCCUACGGGGGGCAGCAGUGGGGGAUAUUGCACAAUGGGGGAAACCCUGAUGCAGCGACGCCGCGUGGGUGAAGAAGCGCCUCGGCGCGUAAAGCCCUGUCAGCAGGGAAGAAAAUGACGGUACCUGAAGAAGAAGCCCCGGCUAACUACGUGCCAGCAGCCGCGGUAAUACGUAGGGGGCAAGCGUUAUCCGGAUUUACUGGGUGUAAAGGGAGCGUAGACGGUCCUGCAAGCCAGAUGUGAAAGCCCGGGGCUCAACCCCGGGACUGCAUUUGGAACUGUAAGGCUAGAGUGUCGGAGAG